rnacentral:lncRNA from 1 species
CAUAUAUACACAUGUAUUAUGUAUGUGUAUAUAUAUAUGUAUCUCCUAAAUUAAAUGUUGCUAUUUCCAUAAAUCCAUUUCAUUUCCUAUCUUUCUUCUUAUGUCUGGCAAAUGAUUACUAAAACUCACUGUAUUCCAGACACAGGAACACAGUAAUCAGCAAGAUGGACCCUCAUUCCUGUCCUCUGAGUUGGUGACAAGGCCAUUUCAGCAAGCAUGAUAAAUUUUAUGAUAAGAGAGGUGCAGACUCUGAUGAAUGAUUAAAGGUUUGUGCAGGGAAUUGAAGACUAGAAUGUGAACACGGAAAAUCCAAUACUGCGUGACCCAAAGUUUCAAUAGGUUCAUGACAAGAAGCCUGAAUUUCUAACUCCAAGCCCAACUAUCCACUGGAACAUGAAAAUCCAAAUUAUUAAUGAGAGGGAAGAACUUCACGUAUUCAGGGCAGUUUCCUACAAUCUGGUGACAACAUUGAGCAGGAAAACCAUGAGCCAAGUGCUGAACCAUGUUCCCCGCAAGGGCUGUCUUUGGAGGAGAUGCGCAGGAGUCUCCAGUCCUCCACCGUCGACAGAUAUGGUGAGUGGACAGAGUCUAGAUGCGCUAAGAAAACUACCCUAGGAAGGAGGUGUCCAGUCCUGUGAUAACAAGGGAGAAAACACUGCAUUGUGUGAUAUCUAGAAAUAAAAGUUGCUUUUAAAUAUUAUAAAACCUUCACUCUGGCCUUUGAAGUCUUUUGUAACUAACUCGUUACCUUAAAGCCUAACAAGGUAAGUGUAAGUGCACGCGAGUGUGUGAAAGUACUCCUAUAAAGUACAACUGUCUCCACGAGAAACAAUCUGUGGCCUCUUGUGCCAUUUCAGACACUUUGUUGUCACAUUAUUGAACCCAUCGCUUCUCAGUCUCAUGUCACGGGAGUGUGGGGAGGAGAAGAAAACAAGGCAUGAAUUUUCAUGAUUGCAUCAUAAGCGUGGGGAGCUCUUCCCCGUUACCCAAGCACCCAAGGGUGAAAUGUAAUUCCACCCUUCUCCCAAAGAGUUGGAGAGGAGGCACGGGAUGGAGGCGCA